UCAGAUGUGGUGUAUGGUACAUGCCUUCUGUCACUGAAUUUGACAGGGCGGACAUGUUCUACAUGAGGGAGUACAGGGUUCGAUUCCCUGCAUCUGAA